AUCCAGCUGAUGAGUCCUAAAUAGGACGAAGAGUGCGUCCUGAAU
rnacentral:hammerhead_ribozyme from 1 species